rnacentral:rRNA from 1 species
AUUGAACGCUGGCGGCAGGCUUAACACAUGCAAGUCGAGCGGGGUGAUGGUGCUUGCACUAUCACUUAGCGGCGGACGGGCGAGUAAUGCUUAGGAAUCUGCCUAUUAGUGGGGGACAACAGCUCGAAAGGGAUGCUAAUACCGCAUACGACCUACGGGAGAAAGCAGGGGAUCACUUGUGACCUUGCGCUAAUAGAUGAGCCUAAGUCGGAUUAGCUAGUUGGUGGGGUAAAGGCCUCCCAAGGCGACGAUCUGUAGCGGGUCUGGGAGGAGGAGCCGCCACGCUGGGACUGAGACACGGCCCAGACUCCUACGGGAGGCAGCAGUGGGGAAUAUUGGACAAUGGGGGGAACCCUGAUCCAGCCAUGCCGCGUGUGUGAAGAAGGCCUUAUGGUUGUAAAGCACUUUAAGCGAGGAGGAGGCUCUUUUGGUUAAUACCCGAGAUGAGUGGACGUUACUCGCAGAAUAAGCACCGGCUAACUCUGUGCCAGCCGCCGCCGUAA